GACGAACGCUGGCGGCGUGCCUAAUACAUGCAAGUAGAACGCUGAAGAGAGGAGCUUGCUCUUCUUGGAUGAGUUGCGAACGGGUGAGUAACGCGUAGGUAACCUGCCUUGUAGCGGGGGAUAACUAUUGGAAACGAUAGCUAAUACCGCAUAACAAUGGAUGACCAUGUCAUUUAUUUGAAAGGGGCAAAUGCUCCACUACAAGAUGGACCUGGGUUGUAUUAGCUAGUAGGUGAGGUAACGGCUCACCUAGGCGACGAUACAUAGCCGACCUGAGAGGGUGAUCGGCCACACUGGGACUGAGACACGGCCCAGACUCCUACGGGAGGCAGCAGUAGGGAAUCUUCGGCAAUGGGGGCAACCCUGACCGAGCAACGCCGCGUGAGUGAAGAAGGUUUUCGGAUCGUAAAGCUCUGUUGUAAGUCAAGAACGAGUGUGAAAGUGGAGAGUUCACACUGUGACGGUAGCUUACCAGAAAGGGACGGCUAACUACGUGC
rnacentral:rRNA from 1 species